rnacentral:lncRNA from 1 species
UUUUCUUUUUCCUUUUUUCUUUUCUUUUCUUUUCUUCUUCUUCCUUUUUCUUUUCAUCUUCCCGGGCUUCCAUUAGGUCGAAACAGGGGAUCUCACAAUCCCCUGUUGGCUGGCCGACCGGCGGUGCCACCAGCAUGGGGUGGCCGUCGGCAGGAGGAGGGGCGACCCAGCUGCAAGAGGAUGGCCAAGCCGGUGGCAAGCGGCGGCCACCA